rnacentral:misc_RNA from 1 species
CAGCCCACCGCCAUCGAGCUCUCUGCAACCCUUUCUUCUUUCAAAUUUUGAUACCUUCAUAACUAUUUCUCAGAUAUGGAUUUCCAAGUUGUUGUCUUAGCUGGUGGCACCACAAAGAAACUGGUUCCUCUUGUUUCUAAGGAGGUCCCAAAAGCGCUGCUUCCGGUGGCCAACCGGCCUGUUCUCUCUUAUGUUUUGGAGCAAUUGGAACUCAGCAAUCUCAAGGAUCUUAUUGUGGUGGUUGAUAUCCAAGCACCAACAAGAAGAGCUG